rnacentral:piRNA from 1 species
AUAGCUCUGAGUGCCUCCAAAA